rnacentral:rRNA from 1 species
UACAGAGGGGGCAAGCGUUGUUCGGAAUUACUGGGCGUAAAGGGCGCGUAGGCGGCCUUCUAAGUCGAACGUGAAAUCCCCGGGCUCAACCCGGGAACUGCGUCCGAUACUGGUGGGCUUGAAUCCGGGAGAGGGAUGUGGAAUUCCAGGUGUAGCGGUGAAAUGCGUAGAUAUCUGGAGGAACACCGGUGGCGAAGGCGGCAUCCUGGACCGGUAUUGACGCUGAUGCGCGAAAGCCAGGGGAGCAAACGGGG